AACGAACGCUGGCGGCAGGCUUAACACAUGCAAGUCGAACGCAUCGCAAGAUGAGUGGCAGACGGGUGAGUAACGCGUGGGAACAUACCCUUUUCUACGGAAUAGCUCUGGGAAACUGGAAUUAAUACCGUAUACGCCCUACGGGGGAAAGAUUUAUCGGGGAAGGAUUGGCCCGCGUUGGAUAAGCUAGUUGGUGGGGUAAAGGCCUACCAAGGCGACGAUCCAUAGCUGGUCUGAGAGGAUGAUCAGCCACAUUGGGACGGAGACACGGCCCAAACUCCUACGGGAGGCAGCAGUGGGGAAUAUUGGACAAUGGGCGCAAGCCUGAUCCAGCCAUGCCGCGUGAGUGAUGAAGGCCUUAGGGUUGUAAAGCUCUUUCACCGAUGAAGAUAAUGACGGUAGUCGGAGAAGAAGCCCCGGCUAACUUCGUGCCAGCCGCCGCAGUAA
rnacentral:rRNA from 1 species